UACGUAGGUGGCAAGCGUUGUCCGGAAUUAUUGGGCGUAAAGCGCGUGUAGGCGGCCAGAAAAGUCCGCUGUGAAAACUCGAGGCUCAACUUCGAGCUGUCGGUGGAAACUUUCUGGCUAGAGUCCGGAAGAGGAGAAUGGAAUUCCUGGUGUAGCGGUGAAAUGCGCAGAUAUCAGGAGGAACACCAAUUGCGAAGGCAGCUCGCUGGGACGUUACUGACGCUGAGACGCGAAAGCGUGGGGAGCAAACAGG
rnacentral:rRNA from 1 species